ACAAUGAUGAAAUACACUAACAAGUUCCCAGUUUUCUAAAACCAAACGCCGAGCCGCGGCCAGGAUGGAACGACCACCAACGUUUGCGAAGCUCUCCAGUUCCUGCUUUCAACCAUCCCCACCGCCAUCUUCGAGGUGGUUCCCCAACCAUGGAUCAGACCCAUGCCCCCUGCAGUGGAAGCUAGAGGUCUUAACCACUGGACCACCAGGAAAAUUCUGGGGCUACUUUGAACAAGGCCUCUAAUCUGGCUGGACGUGGCUUCCUCAUCUAUAAAAGAUGAUUAUCCCUGCUUCAGGGCUUUUCUAGAGUAAAGAUAUUCAAAGCA